AGCUUUGUGCAGUGGCAGUAUCUUAGCCAAUGAGGUUUAUCCGAGGUGCAAUUAUUGUUAAUUGAUGAGUGUUAGAAAGAUAGACUGUGUGAAGUCUCUAGAGGAGAUACUUGUAAUUUAGGACUUGUAUGUACA
rfam:Erinaceus europaeus unplaced genomic scaffold scaffold00183, whole genome shotgun sequence